GUGUGGUUACACUGCCGUCAUGGCUGAAUGAAAUUGUUGACGAUCUGUCAGUUUUGUGAAAUCUUUUAUUUUCGCCGUGAUUGGUAGUUUGUGAGUUGUGGUUUACUAAUGGAUCGUGUUCAAUAAAUGCUAAUGAAUAUUAAUAACAUUUCACAAUGAACGGGUUAAGUUUCAGUGAACUCUGUUGCCUGUUUUGUUGUCCGCCAUGCCCAGGGAAAAUCGCGGCUAAGCUUGCAUUUCUACCUCCAGAACCUACGUAUUCAUUCACACCUGACGAAACGGGGUCAAAAUUCUCUCUGACACUCACUGAACGAGCAGAGUGGCAGUAUUCUGAACGUGAGAAGGAGAAUAUUGAAGGUUUCUAUUCGCGAACCUCAAGAGGGAACAGAAUCGCUUGUCUCUUUGUUCGAUGCAGCCCUAAUGCACGUUUCACAAUAUUAUUCUCACACGGAAACGCCGUGGACCUUGGACAGAUGAGUAGUUUUUAUUUAGGCUUAGGAACUCGAAUAAACUGUAAUAUAUUCAGCUACGACUAUUCUGGAUACGGAGUGAGUGGCGGGAAGCCUUCAGAGAAGAAUCUGUACGCAGACAUUGACGCUGCGUGGCAGGCGCUGCGCACGCGCUACGGCAUCAGCCCCGAGAACAUCAUACUGUAUGGGCAAAGCAUAGGCACCGUGCCUACUGUGGACCUGGCAGCGCGUUACGAGGUGGGCGCCGUUGUGCUGCACUCGCCGCUCAUGUCCGGCAUGAGGGUCGCCUUCCCUAACACCAAAAGGACAUGGUUCUUUGAUGCAUUUCCCAGUAUCGAUAAAAUCCCUAAAGUUACCUCGCCAGUUCUGGUGAUCCACGGAACUGAGGAUGAGGUGAUAGACUUCUCCCACGGACUCGCCAUAUACGAGCGCUGUCCGCGUGCUGUGGAACCACUUUGGGUUUGAGGGUGCUGGACAUAAUGAUGUCGAACUCUUCAAUCAGUAUCUCGACAGACUGAAACGUUUUGUAUCUGUAGAAUUGCUCAACUGACAAAGACUGCCGGCCACGGGCCAGACAAUUCAAGGUGACGACCAAAAUCCAGCUUCGACACUGAGCUCCGGCACUUCUAGUUCUGUGACAGAGAGACUCCUCUAGCUAGCGGGGGCCGGGCCCAGCCGGGCCGGCCCCAACAAAAAUAAUGCCAAUAAUGGCAACGGUAGUCCGCAGCGCGAUCUCGCCGCCGACGCCGACACCCCCGCGCCCGCCGCGCCCGCCGCGCCCGCACACAACAUCAGCAUCAACGUCACCGACACGGACUCGCCCGACGGCGCCCGUCGCCGCAUCCACCUGCGCUCGCUCAGCGACGUCACGCCCGCCAGCCGCGCCCACACCCCCCGCG